UACGAAGGGGGCGAGCGUUGUUCGGAUUUACUGGGCGUAAAGGGCGCGCAGGCGGCCGGCCAAGUCAGGCGUGAAAGCCCCGGGCUUAACCUGGGAAUUGCGUCUGGGACUGGUUGGCUAGAGAUCGGGAGAGGAGAGUGGAAUUCCCAGUGUAGAGGUGAAAUUCGUAGAUAUUGGGAAGAACACCAGUGGCGAAGGCGGCUCACUGGCCCGAUACUGACGCUGAGGUGCGAAAGCGUGGGGAGCAAACAGG
rnacentral:rRNA from 1 species